GCUCCGUUGGUGAACCAGCGGAGGGAUCAUUACUGGAAUCGCAAGAUCCCACAACCCCUGUGAACCUACCGAAACGUUGCCUCGGCGGGCGCCCGGCCCCGCGCCGGGCGCUGAGCCCGCCGGCGGCCCCCUACUCUUGUCUCUGCAGCGUGGCAUCCCAGAGUCCCAGAAAACAAGUAAAAACUUUCAACAACGGAUCUCUUGGCUCUA
rnacentral:misc_RNA from 1 species